UACGAAGGGGGCUAGCGUUGUUCGGAAUUACUGGGCGUAAAGCGUAUGUAGGCGGAUCUUUAAGUCGGGGGUGAAAUCCCGAGGCUCAACCCCGGAACUGCCUUUGAUACUGGGGAUCUUGAGUCCGGGAGAGGUUAGUGGAACUGCGAGUGUAGAGGUGAAAUUCGUAGAUAUUCGCAAGAACACCAGUGGCGAAGGCGGCUAACUGGCCCGGUACUGACGCUGAAAUACGAAAGCGUGGGGAGCAAACAGG
rnacentral:rRNA from 1 species